AUUGAACGCUGGCGGCAUGGCUAAAACAUGCAAGUCGAACGAGAACCUCGCAAGAGGGGACAGUGGCGGAAGGGUCAGUAAUGGGAUCGAACGUACCCAGAGGUGGAGGAUAGCGUUGGGAAACUGACGGUAAUACUCCAUGUCCUCUACGGAGAAAAGAUUUAUCGCCUUUGGAGCGGCGAUCCUCCUAUCAGGUAGUUGGCGGGGUAAAAGCCCACCAAGCCGAAGACGGGUAGCGGGUGUGAGAGCACGGCCCGCGACAUCGAGACUGAGACACUGCUCGGACUCCUACGGGAGGCUGCAGUAACGAAUAUUCCGCAAUGCGCGAAAGCGUGACGGAGCAAUGCCGCGUGCAGGAUGAAGCGGUUUUGCCGUGUAAACUGCUGUCAGGGAUAAGAAAUACUGAUCUAUCCCAGAGGAAGGGGCGACUAACUCUGUGCCAGCAGUCGCGGUAAUACAGAGGCCCCGAGCGUUAAUCGGAAUCACUGGGCGUUAAA
rnacentral:rRNA from 1 species